rnacentral:rRNA from 1 species
AGCAGCCGCGGUAAUUCCAGCUCCAAUAGCGUAUAUUAAAGUUGUUGCAGUUAAAAAGCUCGUAGUUGAAUUUCGGGGUUAGUAGGUUGGUCAUGCCUCUGGUAUGUACUGGUCUCACUGAUUCCUCCUUCCUGAUGAGCCGUAAUGCCAUUAAUUUGGUGUUGCGGGGAAACUGGACUGUUACUUUGAAAAAAUUAGAGUGUUUAAAGCAGGCUAACGCUUGAAUACAUUAGCAUGGAAUAAUGAAAUAGGACGUUCGAUCUUAUUUUGUUGGUUUCUAGGAUUGACGUAAUGAUUAAUAGGGAUAGUUGGGGGCAUUAGUAUUCAAUUGUCAGAGGUGAAAUUCUUGGAUUUAUUGAAGACUAACUACUGCGAAAGCAUUUGCCAGGAUGUUUUCAUUAAUCAAGAACGAAAGUUAGGGGAUCGAAGACGAUCAGAUACCGUCGUAGU